UACAGAGGGGGCAAGCGUUGUUCGGAAUUACUGGGCGUAAAGGGCGCGUAGGCGGCCUGCUAAGUCGAACGUGAAAUCCCCCGAGCUCAACUCGGGAACUGCGUCCGAUACUGACAGGCUUGAAUCCGGGAGAGGGAUGCGGAAUUCCAGGUGUAGCGGUGAAAUGCGUAGAUAUCUGGAGGAACACCGGUGGCGAAGGCGGCAUCCUGGACCGGCAUUGACGCUGAUGUGCGAAAGCGUGGGGAGCAAACAGG
rnacentral:rRNA from 1 species